UACGGGGGGGGGCAAGCGUUGUUCGGAAUUACUGGGCGUAAAGGGCGCGUAGGCGGCCUGUUAAGUCGAACGUGAAAUCCCCGGGCUCAACCCGGGAACUGCGUCCGAUACUGGCAGGCUUGAAUCCGGGAGAGGGAUGUGGAAUUCCAGGUGUAGCGGUGAAAUGCGUAGAUAUCUGGAGGAACACCGGUGGCGAAGGCGGCAUCCUGGACCGGUAUUGACGCUGAGGCGCGAAAGCCAGGGGAGCAAACGGG
rnacentral:rRNA from 1 species